GUUUGAUUCUGGCUCAGAUUGAACGCUGGCGGGAUGCUUUACACAUGCAAGUCGAACGGCAGCACGGACUUCGGUCUGGUGGCGAGAGUGGCGAACGGGUGAGUAAUGUAUCCGGAACGUGCCUGAAGUAGCGGGGGAUAACUACGAAAGCGUAGCCGUACGCAUACGCCCUUCGGGGGAAAGCGGGGGACAGCACGGGCCUCGCACUAUUAGAGCGGCCGAUAUCGGAUUAGCUAGUUGGUGGGGUAACGGCUCGCAAGGCGACGAUCGUAGCUGGUUUGAGAGGACGACCAGCCACGCUGGGACUGAGACACGGCCCGAAGACUCUACGGGAGGCAGCAGUGGGGAAUUUUGGACAAUGGGGAAACCCUGAUCCAGCAGCAUCCCGCGUGUGCGAUGAAGGCCUUCGGGUUGUAAAGCACUUUUGGCGGGAAAGAAACGGCACGGGAUAAUACCCCGUGCAACUGAUGAAUACCUGCAGAAUAAGCGCAGCUAACUACGUGCCAUAGCCGCGGUAAUACGUAGGGUGCAAGCGUUAAUCGGAAUUACUGGGCGUAAAGCGUGCGCAGGCGGUUCCGGAAAGAAAGAUGUGAAAUCCCAGAGCUUAACUUUGGAACUGCAUUUUCAACGCUACCGAGCUAGAGUGUGUCAGAGGGAGGUGGAAUUCCGCGCGUGUAGCAGUGAAAUGCGUAGAUAUGGAGGAACACCGAUGGCGAAGGCAGCCUCCUGGGAUAACGCCAUGACGCUCAUGCACGAAAGCGUGGGGAGCAAAACAGGAUUAGAUACCCUGAGUAGUCCACGCCCCUAAUGAUGUCCAACUAGCUGUUGGGGCCUUCGGGCCUUGUAGUAGCGCAGCUAACGCGUGGGGGUUGACCGCCUGGGAGAGUACAGUCGCAGAUUAAACUCAAAGGAAUUGACGGGGACCCGCACAAGCGGUGGAUGAUGUGGAUUAAUUCGAUGCAACGCGAAAACCUUACCUACCCUUGACAUGUCUGGAAUCCCGAAGAGGUUGCAGAGUGCUCGCGAGAGAACCGGAACACAGGUGCUGCAUGGCUGUCGUCAGCUCGUGUCGUGAGAGAUGUUGGGUUAAGUCCCGCAACAGAGCGCAACCCUUGUCGUGGAUUGCUACGAAGGGCACUCUAAUGAGACUGCCGGUGACAAACCGGAGGAAGGUGGACGAAGCGUCAAGUCCUCAUGGCCCUUAUGGGUAGGGCUUCACACGUCAUACAAUGGUCGGGACAGAGGGUCGCCAACCCGCGAGGGGGAGCCAAUCCAGAAACCCGAUCGUGAUCGGAUCGCAGUCUGCAACUCGACUGCGUGAAGUCGGAAUCGCUGGUAAUCAUGGAUCAGCAUGUCGCGGUGAAUACGUUCCCGGGUCUUGUACACACCGCCCGUCACACCGCUGGGAGUGGGUUUUACCAGAAGUAGUUAGCCUAACCGUAAGGGAGGGCGAUUACCACGGUAGGAUUCAUGACUGGGGUGAAGUCGUAACCAGGUAA
rnacentral:rRNA from 1 species